UUUUUUCCAGAAGGAAAAUGAGAAGC
rnacentral:piRNA from 1 species